AUUGAACGCUGGCGGCAGGCCUAACACAUGCAAGUCGAGCGGAUGAAGGGAGCUUGCUCCUGGAUUCAGCGGCGGACGGGUGAGUAAUGCCUAGGAAUCUGCCUGGUAGUGGGGGAUAACGUCCGGAAACGGGCGCUAAUACCGCAUACGUCCUGAGGGAGAAAGUGGGGGAUCUUCGGACCUCACGCUAUCAGAUGAGCCUAGGUCGGAUUAGCUAGUUGGUGGGGUAAAGGCCUACCAAGGCGACGAUCCGUAACUGGUCUGAGAGGAUGAUCAGUCACAGUGGAACGGAGACACGGUCCAGACCCCUACGGGAGGGAGCAGGGGGGAAUUGUGGACAAGGGGCAAAAGCCUGACCCAGCCUUCCGGGGUGUGAAAGAAAGGUCUUGGAAUUGAAAACCAUUUAAAGUUGGGAGAAAGGAAAUUAAUUAAUUACUUUGUUGUUUGACGUUAACAAAAAAAAAAAACCCGGCCAACUUUGGGC
rnacentral:rRNA from 1 species